rnacentral:miRNA from 1 species
AGCUGGAUAAGGUACUCUAUUG